GACGAACGCUGGCGGCGUGCUUAACACAUGCAAGUCGAGCGAUAAGGCCUUUCGGGGUACACGAGCGGCGAACGGGUGAGUAACACGUGGGUGAUCUGCCCUGCACUUCGGGAUAAGCAUGGGAAACUGGGUCUAAUACCGGAUAUGACCUCCUAUCGCAUGGUGGGUGGUGGAAAGAUUUAUCGGUGCAGGAUGGGCCCGCGGCCUAUCAGCUUGUUGGUGGGGUAAUGGCCUACCAAGGCGACGACGGGUAGCCGACCUGAGAGGGUGACCGGCCACACUGGGACUGAGACACGGCCCAGACUCCUACGGGAGGCAGCAGUGGGGAAUAUUGCACAAUGGGCGAAAGCCUGAUGCAGCGACGCCGCGUGAGGGAUGACGGCCUUCGGGUUGUAAACCUCUUUCAGCAGGGACGAAGCGCAAGUGACGGUACCUGCAGAAGAAGCACCGGCUAACUACGUG
rnacentral:rRNA from 1 species